rnacentral:piRNA from 1 species
UGUGUGACUGUAAGCAUUGCUCAUUACUGC